AGAACGAACGCUGGCGGCAUGCCUAACACAUGCAAGUCGAACGAGACCUUCGGGUCUAGUGGCGCACGGGUGCGUAACGCGUGGGAAUCUACCCUUGGGUUCGGAAUAACAGUUGGAAACGACUGCUAAUACCGGACGAUGACGUAAGUCCAAAGAUUUAUCGCCCAGGGAUGAGCCCGCGUAGGAUUAGCUAGUUGGUGAGGUAAAGGCUCACCAAGGCGACGAUCCUUAGCUGGUCUGAGAGGAUGAUCAGCCACACUGGGACUGAGACACGGCCCAGACUCCUACGGGAGGCAGCAGUGGGGAAUAUUGGACAAUGGGCGAAAGCCUGAUCCAGCAAUGCCGCGUGAGUGAUGAAGGCCUUAGGUUGUAAAAGUCUUACUUUUACCCGGGAAGUAUAAUGAACUGUAACGGAGAAAUAAGCUCCGCUAACUCCGUGCCAGCAGCCGC
rnacentral:rRNA from 1 species